rnacentral:snRNA from 1 species
UGAGCCAUCUCCCCGGCCUAUGUCACCCUAUUGAUCACCAGGUUUGAUUUUGCUAAUCUGGCUGGUUAGUUGGGUGUCCUGUCCUCCCUCAAUGCUCCACGUGUUUCCCCCCCAAAAGCUACAUUCUCAGUUGAAGAGGACAAUCACCCCCAAUAAAGGAGGACCAUUCCUCAAUCAAGGGGAUACAAAUAGCUGCGCUCCCCUUCUAGAACCUCCAAACAAGCUCUCAAGGAACUCAAGAGAAGCUUAUGCUGCAUGUUUCCAGNN